CCAGGCAUAGGAAGCAGCCAGCACCUGGGAACAUAUGAAUUGGAUCACCUGGCCUUGCUGAUACAUUCAGAAACGUGGGCCUUCUUGAGAGGAUCCCAGAAAUGUUCUUCUCCCAGGCAGGACCAGACGUUCUAGCUUGGCUGUAGAAAAGAUCUGUCAGAUAAGCAUGUACCAACAACAGAGGGCCAAAGUUCUGAGACAGAGAAGAUCAAGAGAAUCCCGAGGGAUGCAAAAUAAUAGAGACAGCAGAGGCCUCCGAAUGGAUUUUGUUUUUGUGCACCUUCACAAAAAUGAACAAAUCAAUAGCAA